rnacentral:lncRNA from 10 species
AGCAUCUAAAUCUGAUAUGGGUGAAACUCAAGGUACAACUGCCCGAAGCCAAUCUCUCUCCACUUGUGAACCUACGAAGCCAAACGAGUUAUGUGCUUCCAAGAUCCAGUGGUGGGACAGGCAUAGGAUAGGCAUUCCAAAAGGAAGAAAUAGGAAAGAAGGAAGAAAUGAUAGAUCCAAGUUGUACAAGCAGGUGCCACAUCUGCUCCACUUCUGGAGGGGCCUCAGGGGGCUUUUACUGAUGAUGGAAGGUGAACGGACAGCAGGAACAUCAACCGGUGAGAGAGGGAGCAAGGGUGGGGGUAUGUGCCACACACUUCUAA